CAGGGCGAGCAGUGAUCCCCUUCUCUCCCGCCCUGGGGAAGCUGUGACCAGAAUCCCCGGGAUGUGUGCGCCCGCGUCAGGGACCGACCACUCACCUGGAGCAGAGUUGUUAACUCCGAUGUUGAACAAGGAGGAGACAGCCAAAGUCCAGGUUGUUCCGGAGCAAGAAAGAGUCUGUGUCUGGAACGCAGGGGAAUCCGGGGCUGUUUGCACCCCAGACCCCCAAAGCACAACAGCGUAAAGCGGACGGCUCAGCACACACCGCUCUCUUCUCUAACCUCCUAAUCAAGGUCGCCAAGGAUAUCUUAUUAAAGCAACAGCGAUGAAAUGGGAAUAAUCCCUUUGGUCAUUGUCCACUCUCACCCUGGAGACUGCCUCAAGAUCUGACUCCACUUAUGGAGUCUUCCUCACUACACUCUAUGCUUCAUAUAAUCUCAUUUAACACAGAUCACAUGGACCAGUGAGCUAAGAAAAAAUCAGCACAAGAUCCAGACCUGCAGCUGUUCCUGUAAGAGAGGAGUCAAGUUUCAAACAGUUACAAAGUCGAAGUACAAAUAAACAGAAAGGAGUGAGUCUCCCAAGGAGAAAGUUAAAAUUAACCAUGUGCAUCCUUUGAUGCUAAGGUUUGAUGCUAAGCCAUCAAUCUCUAG